GGGUGGCAGGGCCCGCCGCCUUGAGGCUGCCUUUCCCGGCGUUCCCUCGUUUAUUGGCUCACUCUUCCUUUCAUCCAUCCAUCCUUUGCGCAACAAUAUUUGAUGGGAAGCCUGCCAAGAGGCAGGGAGAAAGACACAUGGGCAGGAGAAUACCACAUGGAGACACAGACACACGAGGAGAGGAUGCCUGCUGACCAUGGAGGCAGAAGUGGGACUGAUGCAUCGAUCAGCCCAGGGAUGCCAAGCACUGCCAGCAAACACCAGAGGCUUGAUGGGGCCGAGGAUUCUCCUGUGCAGGUUUCAGAGGGAGCCUGGCCUUGCAGACACCUUGAUUCCUGACUUCUGCCCUCUAAAAUGACUUUGACUUCGCUUAAACCGGAGAAGAUACUGUUGGAGAGGAGGGGAGAUGGGAGAAGUUGUGGCCACACAUCAGGGAGAAAAACAAGUUAACUCCUAUCUUUUGAGCUUCCAAAGACUCAGGUCCACAGCUCUAAGGGUUUUUGAAGGUUGAUUUUUAAUUGUUUAUUCUUUGGCCUUACAUGCUGACUUUACAAAUUAACCCUGAGGUCAGAUGAGAUUCUACUACAUCUCUAGCCGACACCUCAUCUUUCACUCCAGCUUGUAUGACUGGCUGCUGAACACAUCUAGUUGGGUGUCUCACACACAUCUCAAACCAGCAUGUUCAAAACCAAGUUCUAGAUUUGCCACCCUAACCAGUUUAUCCCCUAUUUCCAUCACCACCAUGCUAGUCCAAGGGAUUACACUUCCCUUCUGGAAGUUUUUGGAAAUAGCCCAGUUGCAAUCCCCGCCUUCACAUUUGCCUCCAAAAGUCUAUUCUCCAGUUAAGGGGUUGCAUCAUAGCUACCCUGCUUAAAAUCUUUAAAAAACCUUCCCAAUGCCCUUACAGUAGUCUCCUAAAUCCUAAGCCACAAGCCCCUAUGCAAUCUAGCCCCUGCCUACUCUCCAACUUUGCCAUGGGUUACUCUCCCUGUCACUUACUGCAUUCCAAUCAUCCUGGCUUCUUUCCUUCUUUUCAAACAUGCCAAACUCUUUCCCACCUAAUUCCCUGUCCCAGCAGAGGGAACAGCACAUGUGAAGGCAUUUCCAUGGCUGGCUCCUUCUCUGCCUUGGGUCUUAACUUGAAACUCAUCUCCUUGGAGAGAUCUUUCCUAACUCCUUAGUCUACAGUAGGGGCUCCUGCACUUGUCUGUCAUGGCACUCUGUUCUUUCCUUUAAGCACUUACUAUAAUUUGCAAUAUAUAUUUAUGUGUUAGUAUCAGCUGCUCCCCCUUCCAUGCCCUAUGCCCCAUCCUGCCCAGACUAUAAGGUCUUUGGGGACAUGUCUGUCUUGUUCAUCCGCAUAUAUUUGUUGUUGGGCACAUAUUAAGUGCUAGAGAAAGUUGAAGGAAUGAAUGAAUUAUACAGUUAAAAUUUCACAAUUGUGGUAAGUUCCGGAAAGGACAAAUAAGGGUUGUUUGCUCUGAGAACAAACUUUAACACAACUUGACCAAGGCUGGGAUUAUUGGAGGGCUGGUCUGGGGAAGUGAUACUUAAGUUGAGACCCAACGGGCUAGUAUCACACAGAAAGCCUUCACAACUCGGGGGAGCAGUGUGUGCAAAGGCCGUGAGGUGGAAAGGAGCACAGUAUGUUCUAGGAUCUGAAAGGGAGAACUCAAAGCAAGAAGGAGAAAGAUUCUAGAAGACGCUGGUGAGGCAGGCUGGAGGCUGACCAGGAAAGACCUUCAGGAGAUGUGGAAGAGUUUGGAGUAAUGAGAAGCCGUUUUAAGUACAGGAAUGAUUCCAUCGAAUUUGUAUAAGAUCAGUCUGGCCGCUGGGUGGAGGCUUUCUAAGAUGGGGUUGAAGAGGGAUGGGGAGGAGUAAGGAUGGCUGUAGAAUGACCAGGAGUCCACAGGAGGCAAUGUGAGAAAUUGUGGCUUGAACUAGGCUGAGGGAAGCAGAGGUGAACAGACAAUUCCCAAAGAUACUUAGAAAGAUAUGCAAAGAAGACUAGGUCCUUGCCCUCAAGACUUACUUUUUCUGAGCAUGGAAACACACAUAGAAAGAGGAAUUGUAGGCUGGGCGUGGUGGCUCACACCUGUAAUCCCAGCACUUUGGGAGGCCGAGGCAAGCAGAUCACGAGGUCAGGAGUUUUAGACCAGUUUGGCCAAUAUGGUGAAACCCCGUCUCUACUAAAAAUACAAAAAAGUUUAGCCAGAUGUGGUGGUGCAUACCUGUAGUCCCAGCUACUUGGGAGGGUGAGGCAGGAGAAUCGCUUGAAUCUGGGAGGUGGAGGUUGCAGUGAGUCAAGAUUGCCUCACUGCACUCCAGCCCGGGUGAUAGAGCAAGACUCCACCUCAAGAAAAAAAAAAAAGAGGAAUGGUAAAGGGAAGAAACACAGAGGAAAAAAGGAAGAGGAAAGGAUUAGGACCUGGUAUAAUAAAUCCUGAAAGUAUUAAAAAGGGAAUUCUGGGAGGAGAUAGUCUAAUUGUGUUCUACCAAAUGCUGGUGCUCGGAUUCUCUUACAAAACCCCCCAUGUAACACAGGAGCCCAGCACAUAUUGGUUUACCACUGGAAAUAAUCAUAUUUUGCAUUAAUAGUUUUGGCCUUCAGCCCAUCUUCAUGCAGUUUCAGAUCUGAUUUUUUUUUUUUUUUUUUUUUUUUUUUUUUUUGCUACUCAACAGAUUGCAUUCUUGGUUGCCUUUUAAUUGUUGAAUUGCUGUUCUUUAUCUGCAGUCUCUGACUAGUAACCUUAUUAUAACAAUUACCCAAGACUUAAAACUAAACAGUGAACAAUAAAAAUCUACAAUAAUGAAAAUGCUUAAAUUAAAUAAAAAUCUCCUAACAUGUAGCUGAGCAUACUGAAAUGGAUUGUAUGAGUCACCAAAUGUAUGAAUGAUUUAUUUUAGAAGUUAUAUCAGCUGAAGAAAAUCAUAUAUCAAUCUCAUCAUUCAAUACCCAGGCCAGCCCAAAUACACUCAUCACAGAGCCUCUGAAUGAAAUAGUCUCAUGCAGAGAUUAUUAAUCUAUAAAUAAUAUCCUAAUGGUCUGUUAGUGUUUAUGACUACUGUUUUAAAAAUAUUCAUUAGUGGCUUUAAGAGCUGUUUCAUAUUUGUUUCCACUGUCCCAUAUAUGUUUGCAACUCUGUGUG